AGUGAACGCUGGCGGUAGGCCUAACACAUGCAAGUCGAACGGCAGCACAGUAAGAGCUUGCUCUUACGGGUGGCGAGUGGCGGACGGGUGAGGAAUACAUCGGAAUCUACUUUUUCGUGGGGGAUAACGUAGGGAAACUUACGCUAAUACCGCAUACGACAUACGGGUGAAAGCAGGGGAUCUUCGGACCUUGCGCGAUUGAAUGAGCCGAUGUCGGAUUAGCUAGUUGGCGGGGUAAAGGCCCACCAAGGCGACGAUCCGUAGCUGGUCUGAGAGGAUGAUCAGCCACACUGGAACUGAGACACGGUCCAGACUCCUACGGGAGGCAGCAGUGGGGAAUAUUGGACAAUGGGCGCAAGCCUGAUCCAGCCAUACCGCGUGGGUGAAGAAGGCCUUCGGGUUGUAAAGCCCUUUUGUUGGGAAAGAAAAGCAGCAGGUUAAUACCCCGCUGUUCUGACGGUACCCAAAGAAUAAGCACCGGCUAACUUCGCG
rnacentral:rRNA from 1 species